rnacentral:rRNA from 1 species
AGCACGCCGCGUGUAGUGAUAGAAGGGUUUCGGCAUCGUAAAACACUGUUGUAAGAGAAGAAUGACAUGUGAGAGUAACUGUUCAAUGUGUGACGGUAUCUUACCCAAAAGGAACGGGUAAAUACCUGCCAGCCGCCGCGGUAAUACCUAUGUUCCAAGCGUUAUCCGGAUUUAUUGGGCGUAAAGCGAGCGCCAACGGUUAUUUAAGUCUGAAGUGAAAGCCCUCAGCUUAACUGAUGAAUUGCUUUGGAAACUGGAUGACUUGAGUGCAGAAGAGGAAAGUGGAACUCCAUGUGUAGCGGUGAAAUGCGUAGAUAUAUGGAAGAA